CACAGUGAGGACAGUGCCUGUCAGCAACACGGAGCUUCAUUCAGACUCUGGGUCUGACAGAGCUGCAGUGAUGUUUUUUCAUUAGUGUGA
rfam:Ochotona princeps cont2.185221, whole genome shotgun sequence.